UACGGAGGGUGCGAGCGUUAAUCGGAAUUACUGGGCGUAAAGCGCGCGUAGGCGGUUUUGUAAGUCGGAUGUGAAAUCCCCGGGCUUAACCUGGGAACUGCAUUCGAUACUGCAUAACUAGAGUAUGGUAGAGGGAAGUGGAAUUCCGGGUGUAGCGGUGAAAUGCGUAGAUAUCCGGAGGAACACCAGUGGCGAAGGCGACUUCCUGGGCCAAUACUGACGCUGAGGUGCGAAAGCGUGGGGAGCAAACAGG
rnacentral:rRNA from 1 species